UUUAAUUGAAGAGUUUGAUCAUGGCUCAGAUUGAACGCUGGCGGCAGGCCUAACACAUGCAAGUCGAGCGGUAACAGGGGAAGCUUGCUUCUCGCUGACGAGC
rnacentral:rRNA from 1 species